UGCGCAGGCGGUUUCGUAUGUCGGAUGUGAAAGCCCACGGCCCAACCGUGGAACUGCAUCCGAAACUGCGGGACUAGAGUACAGGAAGGGAGAGCGGAAUUCUUGGUGUAGCGGUGAAAUGCGUUGAUAUCAAGAGGAACACCGGUGGCGAAGGCGGCUCUCUGGAAUGUUACUGACGCUCAGGCACGAAAGUCGGGGGAGCAAACAGGAUUAGAUACCCUGGUAGUCC
rnacentral:rRNA from 1 species